AGGCGCGUAGCUCAGUGGUAGAGCACUACGUUGACAUCGUAGGGGUCGGCGGUUCAAACCCGCCCGCGCCUACCA
rnacentral:tRNA from 1 species